rnacentral:rRNA from 1 species
AGUUGCCUUCGGGUGACAAGUACAGUGGCGAACGGGUGAGUAACACGUGGGCAAUCUGCCCUUAGGUUGGGAAUAACACCUCCAACGAGGUGCUAAUACCGAAUGAUAAGGCGAGUUGAUGAUUCGUUUUUAAAGGUGGCCCUACUUGUAAGCUGCCGCCUAAGGAUGGGCCCGCGUCGUAUUAGCUUGUUGGUAGGGUAAUGGCCUACCAAGGCGACGAUGCGUAGCCGGCCUGAGAGGGUGAACGGCCACACUGGCACUGAGAUAAGGGCCAGUCUCCUACGGGAGCCAGCAGUCUAGAAAUUUGCACAAUCGCCGAAAGGCGGAUGCAGCGACACCACGUGGAGGAUGAAGCCCCUCGGGGUGUAAACUCCUGUCAGAAGGGAAGAAGGCGCGGGCGUUAAUACCGCUCGUUGCUUGACGGUACCUUCAGAGGAAGCUCCGGCUAACUACGUGCCAGCAGCCGCGGUAAUACGUAGGGAGCGAGCGUUGUUCGGAUUUACUGGGCGUAAAGGGCAUGUAGGCGGGUAUGCAAGUCGGUUGUGAAAUCCUCUGGCUCAACCAGAGAACUGCAGCCGAAACUGUACACCUUGAGUCCAGCAGAGGGAAUCGGAAUCCCAGGUGUAGCGGUGAAAUGCGUAGAUAUCUGGGAGAACAUCAGUGGCGAAGGCGGAUUCCUGGGCUGGUACUGACGCUGAGGUGCGAAAGCUAAGGGAGCGAACAGGAUUAGAUACCCUGGUAGUCUUAGCCGUAAACGAUGGGUACUAGGUGUUGGGGGACAUUGACCCCCUCAGUGCCGUAGCUAACGCAUUAAGUACCCCGCCUGGGGAGUACGGCCGCAAGGCUGAAACUCAAAGGAAUUGACGGGGACCCGCACAAGCAGUGGAGCAUGUUGCUCAAUUCGAUGCAACGCGAAGAACCUUAC